UAGACAAUUAUUUCAUUGGUUACAUUUUAUGACCAAUAAAAAGAAUUUUUUUUAAUAUAAAAAUGAUCAUCUAUCAAGUUUUAAUCAAGAAAUUCCUUGAAGAAAAAAAAAUUUAUACGGAUUCAAUCAGCAAGAUUUUCAAGAGGAAUUCGUGAAAGAUGAGGAUAUCUAUUUACUUAUGUAUAGAUCUCAUUGGUAUCUAACAUAUCUAUCUUUAUGCUGGAAUAUGUUAGAAAGGUUUAUAUACAACCUUCAGUAGGUCAUCUUGAGAAUAAAUUUCCUAUAUAAAAUCCUACAGAAAUCCUAUUAAAGACCGACAACUUAUAAAAAAAAAAAGGAAAAAGAAAAAAGAAGAGAAAGUUGUUUUGAAGGUCUUACUAGGGAUAAACACCGUUCCUAUAAAGUUCCAGUGUUUCAUAGAAAGAAGAAAAAAGAAACUCUCAGGAAAAGAACACAUCUUGUUGUAAAAGAAAUUCUAAAAUCUUUUGUGUAGGGCUUUCUAAAUGGGUUGAUUUUGCAUAUAGUUCUUUAUAGGGUGCAUCACACAAAAACUAAGUUUACAUAGGAUUAAGUAAAUUUUAUAAAGAAAAUAAGGAAGAAUACUAAAAACGCAUUUUCAACGUAUCUAGUUUCUAUUUUUUAAAAUAUUUCUUUAAAAAAUAAACCCUGUAUAAACUUACCAUUAUCGAUUAUACACUUUAUAGUUCUACAUUAUAAAAUAAGUUAAAUACAUUGAAUGUUUGCCAUCUGCCUGGCUUCUAAGAAAACAAUUUUAAAAAGUAUUCUAAAAGAUGUAUA